rnacentral:rRNA from 1 species
AGUGGCGAACGGGUGAGUAAUACAUCGGAACGUACCUUAUCGUGGGGGAUAACGCAGCGAAAGUUGCGCUAAUACCGCAUACGCCCUGAGGGGGAAAGCGGGGGACCGUAAGGCCUCGCGCGAUUAGAGCGGCCGAUGUCUGAUUAGCUUGUUGGUGAGGUAAAAGCUCACCAAGGCGAUGAUCAGUAGCUGGUCUGAGAGGACGAUCAGCCACACUGGGACUGAGACACGGCCCAGACUCCUACGAGAGGCAGCAGUGGGGAAUUUUGGACAAUGGGGGCAACCCUGAUCCAGCAAUGCCGCGUGAGUGAAGAAGGCCUUCGGGUUGUAAAGCUCUUUUGUCAGGGAAGAAACAGCAGCUCUAACACAGUCUGCGAAUGACGGUACCUGAAGAAUAAGCACCGGCUAACUACGUGCCAGCAGCCGCGGUAAUACGUAGGGUGCGAGCGUUAAUCGGAAUUACUGGGCGUAAAGCGUGCGCAGGCGGUUAUACAAGACAGGCGUGAAAUCCCCGGGCUUAACCUGGGAAUGGCGUCUGUGACUGUAUAGCUAGAGUGUGUCAGAGGGGGGUGGAAUUCCACGUGUAGCAGUGAAAUGCGUAGAUAUGUGGAGGAACACCAAUGGCGAAGGCAGCCCCCUGGGAUAACACUGACGCUCAUGCACGAAAGCGUGGGGAGCAAACAGGAUUAGAUACCCUGGU